rnacentral:lncRNA from 1 species
UUAGGAAUAGUUAAAUCAAGGCACAUGUCUUCAAUUUCUAAGCUACUACUGCGUGUCCGUGACACAGAAGCACUGCCUCAGAUAGAUUAUAAUUGGGAUUCAUCACAGAAACUGGAACUAUCUUUGGGUGGCACAGAAGCCGCACCUCUGUCACAACUGAGCAUAUUUGGCUGCAACUUUUUAUUCGUAUCAAGCCACUCACAGCUAACACCUGGGGUCUGGAAAUGGUUUGAACAUCUUGCAGUUUUAACAAUUGCAAAAUGUGAUGUGCUCAUCUACUGGCCAGAAGAAGUGUUCCAAAGCUUGGUAUCUUUGAAGUACUUGUUCAUUUUCUCCUGCAACAAGCUAAUAGGGCCCACACAAGCGAAAGGUGACAAACCUACACAAACAACAGAUCAAGUCCUGCCACAUCUAAACAUGAUACGUAUACACAAUUGUGAAAGCAUGGCACAGCUCUUCAUUCUUCCCCCAUCUAUCAGAAUUAUUCAUAUUUUUGAGUGCCCUAAGCUUGAGUUCAUAUGGGGAAAAGAGGAGCAUCUUGACACAUAUGCAUCGCUGGAACAUUGCCGCGACCCUGCAUCCACCACUGGUAACCUAGAGCAAUCGCCGUCUCCAAUUAUUCGCCGUCCAUGCCUUGUAGAUCUAACUAUAAGAGGAUGUGAUAGCCUGGUAACACUUCCAAAUCUACCACCGUCCCUCAAGGAAUUAUUCAUCCGGAAGUGUGAGAAGCUCUGCUCUGUGUCAGGAGACCUGUGUGCACUCGAGACCCUACAGAUUGUUAACUGCAAUAAGUUACAGUCAGUCAAUUCCUUGGGAGACCACCCAUCAUUAGAAACACUGUUUCUUUCUGGCUGCCGAUGCCUUGCAUCUUUAGGAUGUGAUGGUGGUCGUGGGAGUUACUCUGCUCUUCAGUGCCGUGAGAUCGAAGACUGCCCAGCCAUAGAUAUGAAGCAGUUUUACUAACGCCAUCAAACAGCUGCUUGACAGCUUUGAAUAUGAAGACGUAUCACACGUUCAUUCAAGCAGCUCUGAUGAAGGUACGACCUUUCACUUUCCUCUUAUUCAAUUUGUUUCCUUCAAAUUUCCCUUCUUUGCAUGCCCUCCUAUUUUGUUGACGAUCUGGUUUAUAGAUGGGCUUGCGGGGUGGGAUUUUGGGGUUUCAUCUUCGUUCCGGCUUUUAGACGGUCCUUUCUCACUGACGUGACCCCACAUAUAUUUUAGUUUAUACGGCUAUUGGUUUUCAGUCUUCGAUGCAGUUGAAGUGCAUAGGGAAAUUCUGGAAACAUGUUCUAUCCCUUGGUGUUGAGAUCAGCUGAUGCGGAAUCACUGAAGUACUACUGAAACGAGAUCCUGAUCGGUCUCAGUUGUGGAGAGCAAUUUGUGAUGAAUGGAAGCAGUCCCAAGGCUUCAAGAACUCAUGGAGUCGUGCUGUACCAUUCUCCACUGCCAGGGCCUAAACUAGGUACAUGGAAGGCGCACAGGUUGGGAUAGUAAAAAACCAUACCUUUGUCUGUGUUAGAGCAACUCCAAGAGGCUGCUAAUCUUACCCCAAUACCUUUUUUAGGAAAAAAAAAGAGAAAAAAUGAACUCCAACAAUCCACCUAAACCUUCCCCAAUUUUUUAGCGACGCUAAAAAACAGCCUGCCAUCGCGUAUAUUUUAGCGUUGGCGUUCCUUCCCCAAUCCUGAUUCCCGCACACCCGCGCGUCCCUUCCGAUGGGCCCAAUACGAUGACGUGGCCUGUGUUUGAAAUAUUGGGGGCUAUUUAUUAGCGAUCUGUUGUGGACUGAUAUGCUUUUGGGGGAAAUUUUUUUUGGGAGAACCCCCAAUACAUAGUUUUGGGGAAGAAUUUUUUAGGAUACUCUUGGAGUUGCUCUUAGAGCAUCUUCAAGAGUCUGCCAAAAAACUCUUCCCCAAAACCACAUCAUCCCACAAUAGAUCCCUAAUAAUAAAUUUUCCAAUAUUUUAAAAUUUGCCACAUCAGCAUGCGUGGACCCUAAGCUGGGCUGCCCCCUUCCCCCGCUGGAGCGUUUUCGCGCUUUCGCACUGUGGCUGCCUGAGCAGGGGUUGGUCUGUGCUGAUUUGCUGAACCAUGCAUAUUAUAUGCACUGGGACUGUCAUGCCCUCAGAAAAGCAUCAUCAUCUACUGGUAUGACGUCAAUUCAGCCUCAAACUCUCAACACUGAAGGCCUUCGAGGACUAGGACUACGCCAGCGCCACCCAUUGAAUCCCAUCCCCAUCUCGGCCACGUGCCAUGCCAUGCCCAGCCGUGGGGCACUGGGCAGCCCACGUGCAGCCACUUGUGGCCACGGACGCCCAGCCAGACCAUCACCCCCAAGAGGAGGAACGCCUUAUCUUUUCACCAUGAGAAAGCAGAGUCUAACGGUCCGUGGGCAAUAGGAAAAUCAGCACCGGCGGACUCCUGUGUUCACCUUCAUAUUUUUCGUGGUCUAUAUUAUGCGAGUUAUAGCAGUCCUAGGGAAUUUGUUUGGUGUCUCGGAGUUGUCAUAUUCCUAUUAAUGAUUGUGACAGCUUUUAUAGGAUACGUACCACCUUGGGGUCAGAUGAGCUUUCGGGGAGCAACAGUAAUUACAAGCUUAGCUAGCGCCAUACCAGUAGUAGGAGAUACCAUAGUGACUUGGCUUUGGGGUGGUUUCUCCGUGGACAAGGCUCUUGGAGUUGCUCUUAAUCAAUUCUCAUUUAGCACUCUGUUGUUAACAUGUUACCCCCAUGCUUUUCAUUUUUUCUGUGCAGACAUGACCCAUUUAUCCUUAAAAGGCAUAAAGGAGGGCACUCACAUGUACGCACGACUGGCAACUGGAAGCUUCGUUGCAAGCCUCUGCUAACGACCAAGUUUGUUUUCACGCCACUAUACCAGCUGCUGGUAAUUCUCUUGUCACUAAUGUCAUCCUGUCAUCCAUCAAAGCCGUGGAGAAUAUGAUGCCACUCUGAGUCCUUCAGUUUGCCACGUGAGCCGAUGAAGCAGAAACAGAUGAUGAUGAUGGAUGAUAUAACUGCGGGGAUGCAGACUUGCUUUCAACGGUCGAAAUGGAGCUACAAAUGAUUAGUCGUAGUCGUGUGUGGUCCUUCCAUCACCUUGUGUUAUUGAUCCCGUUUGUAUGUGUUGCGUUCUCUAUAUCCCUCCAUAGCUUUUCAGUUGUUGUCUCUUUUACGACUAUUUUGAUUCCUCUUUUCCUUUUUAUUAAUAUAACACAAAAAUCCUCUUGCCAUGUUUUUGAAAAAACAAAAUCGUGAGGAUGCUGCUUCAUGAAGCUAGCAACAUGGAUCUCAUAUGGUUCUUCCGAUUGUUGGGAUUGGUGGGAUGGGCAAGACCACCUUUAAUUUGUGCAACUCAUUUAUGACCCUGAUCGUGAUGCAUUUUGAGCUUCAGAGGUGGUGCUGUGUGUCAGAUUCGAAAAUGUUUUUUGACUCUUUCAUCACCGCCUUCAGUAGCUCAUGCCGGUCAGGUCUUCUCCAGUGACCAGUUCCUUCACCUUGGUUGCGCACCCCCUCACCUGGGCUUGCAGCUAGGUCAUAGCCUUGGCAUUCCGCAUCAUCUCAGCCAUGGCAUAGUCUAGUGCUACGUAGGUUGUGUCCGUCCCGGCUUCAAACAUGUCCUUCAUGAACAUAUCCGUAGAACUCCAAUCAAAUUUAACCAAACUAGUCAUGAAACAUGUCAUAUGUACCUCUUGUGAGAAUUAAAUUGGAGGCUUAAAAUCCUUCAAUUAGUAACAGUAAGAAAUUAAUUAAAAUUUGGAGUUUUGUUGCAUACAAGUUGCCAGUCACCAGUACAGAAAUGACCUUUAGUCCUGGUUAGGAAACCUUGGGAAACCUCAAAGAGCUCGGUUUUCCCGACCGGGAUUAAGUAUUCGGGAUUUAGUCCUGUAACACCAUGUGCUUUGCCUUAUAAUGAAAGCCACUAAAAAUUCGAACUUCUAAAAUUUUCCUAUAAACUAAAAUGUGCCUUGCUAUUUCAUACCUCAAAACCCUUUCAAAAUAAAUUUUACAAAACAACCUUCAUCAAAAUUCACCAUAUGCAUUUUAUUGUGCUUGUUUGAGUGUUGUUUGCUUGUGUGCUUUGUUGAAUCUUUUGGUGGCAACCAACCCCUUGACCUCCUUUCCAAAUUUCCCACAAAUCCUUGUUAAACAUCCCUUCGAAUUCCUCAAAUCCAUUCAAACUCCAUUUCAAAUCUCUUCCAAAAUUAUUCAAACCAUUUCCUUGGGUGCAGGCUCAAUUUCCCUCUCCUCUCCUUUCGGCCUGGCGUGGCUUGCUUCUCCUUCUCCCUUUCAGCCCAGCUCGGCCCGCCCCUCCUCGCCUUCUUCUUUCCCGAGCAGGCCACCUCCUCCUCCUCCUUUACUUCCGCACGGCCCGGUCCAGCCCACAACGGCCGCCACCUCUCUCUUCCUCUCCGCACCAGCACCGCCCAUGAGAAUGGCCCGUGACGACCCGGCUCCCACUCCAUGUCAGCAUUGCGUCCGCACACAGCCGCUGAUGAGUAGGUCCCACUCAAUAGCGUCAUCCCCAACCUCGUGUCGUCUUCCCCAAUGCGUCUCGUUGCCGCCGCCUUGUCCCAUCUCCGCCCGUCGCCUAUGCCGUCGUGCCGGCCCCGAAGAAAUAUCUCGCCGCUCCAUCCCAUCAUGGCCCCACCUGUCAUCCCGCACGGUCCUAAAAGAUCUCCGCCGCCCGCUCCACGGACCUCUGUGCACAAUCGACCUCUCGCGGCUAUAAAAGCUGGCGAGCCCCGCCAUCGCUCCCCGCACCUCAAGCUCGAGCUCCCUCCCUCUUCUUCUGCUCGAGCUCGCCUCCUCCCUCUUUAGUCCUCUCCUCCCUCCACCGGAGCACGGCUUCCUCCGAAGCCACGCCUCGCCGAGCCCUGCCCUUCCCUCUUCCUGUCUAGCGCGCCACCGCACAGAACUGCCAGCCAAGCACUAGCGCCGCCACCGUGACAAACUCGAGGAGGACAAAGUGCCGAGCGACGUUGGAUCGGUAACAAGCGGCCCUGAUCUGCCUGAGCUAAUUCGCGUCCCACACCCGAUGACAAGUAGGCCCGAGUCUAACGCCGAAAAUGCCGUCUGUUGGUGACCAGUGGGCACCACAUCAGCAAGCAAGCUCCCAGACAUCACCAUGGCACUGGGAGGGUGCCUCGCAAGCACCACGCGGACACACCCGUAGCAAAUGACACGUCAUCAUGGGUCCACAUGUGAGUUACUGUGUGACACUGUGCGGUCAACAGUCAACACUGACCAGGGACACACCUGGAGUAACUGUGUCGACGGUAAAAUUACUACGCGUACUCAGGUUAGUGUACACGGAAGUCUCGUUUACCCCUUUCCUUGCACAAGCAAGCUCCCAGACAAAUUGUCACUCGCCAUGGCACUGGGAGGGUGCCUCGCAAGCGCCACGCGGACACACCCGUAGCAAAUGACACGUCAUCAUGGGCCCACAUGUGAGUUACUGUGUGACACUGUGCGGUCAAUAGUCAACACUGACCAGGGACACACCUGGAGUAACUGUGUCGACGGUAAAAUUACUACGCGUACUCAGGUUAGUGUACACGGAAGUCUCGUUUACCCCUUUCCUUGCACAGAAAAAUUUCCAAAAAAUUCCUAAAAAUACUAGAGCCACCCUAUAACCCAUCCAAACCUUUUGCACCCCAUUUCCAUCAUACAAAAUUAUGGGAAAAUAAAUUUCACCACUCAGGCACUCAUAAAUUCCAAUAAAUCACAUAAAUUCCCGAUAAAUUCCCAAAAAUCAUCUCUCCUGUCAAACUCCGUUUCUGUCAAUUCUUCCACCAAAAUUCUUCUAAAAUUAAAUCCUUGAUAUCCCUUCCGGUGCCACCAUUAGUUUCUUUGUUUGAUUCUUGAUUUGUUCAUGUAUUGCUCUUCGACCUGUUAGUCACUAACAUCACACAAACCCCUUAUGCUCAUGCAUGCAUAUACACUGUAGCAUGUAUACAACUAUAUGAGUAUACAUACACCCCCCUUCACACACCUACCACCGAUACUUUUUUUAUUUUUGUUUUUGCAAAAAAAAAAUCAAAACUAUUUAGUCCCAGUUGGUAAUACCAACAGGGACUAAAAGGGGCGGGAGGUAGCCACUGGCGCCGUGAUCGUUUUCUUCCGGUUGGUAUUACCAACUGGGACUAAAAGGGGAUAUUAUAUCCCGGUUUUGGGACCCGUGAUAAAAGACCCCCCUAUCUCGACAAGUUAAUCCUAGAUGCAUUUUCGGAAGAUAUGCACCCUACAAACCGGUACUAAUACCGAAUUUUCUAAUAGUGAAUGGUGCCGGUAGGCGUCCCCUUCAGCUGCAUUCUCUUCCAACCUGCAUACAAAGAGUCACUGGAGAUAGCGUGAUACAACCUCGGUUAGUCAGGCGAUCAAAUGAUAUAACCUCGAGUUAAUCUAGGCCGAAGCCAAUUAGCUUCCGUGUUUCUAUCUGAAGCUGGCAGAGUUAGCGCCUUGUCUGGGCGAGCUAAGACCCGGGUUAUAGGCGAAGGGGAUGAGUUUUGGACAGAUCCCCAACAUCUCGAAAAAUUAAUCUCGGUUGGGCAUUGGAGAGUUAUGCUCCUUCCCAACCGGGACUAAUAGUCAGUUUUCUACUACUGGUUGUGUAGAGGUGAGGAGGCGAGGGUUUUAGGUGAGGACGAUGAGGUGGCACCGCUCCCUUUCUCCGAUUCAACUGUCUCUAUAAAAUUGAUAUGGUUAGAUAUGUCAUAUUCUGUGGUACCACCUCGCGAUCACGAUGUGUGUGCCUCUAUAUAUGUUGUGCCAUUGCAGUCCAUUCGAUCGAGGGAGUACCAUAGCGUGACUGAACUACUGAAAAUGAAAAGCCUACACUUCUGCAACAACACAGUCUACCCCUAUGUUUACAACCUGACUUCCUCCUACAUCGACCAGAACAAUGAGGCCACCAUGGUGACCACCACCUUGGUCAUGUUUAUGCUGGCCGUGUUCGUCUUCAACCUCAACCUCUUCAGCCGCUUCUUGGACGUGAGCGCGAUUCUCAACCCUAGCGUCCGCCUCUUCCUCUCCACCUCCCUGUCCCUCUUCCUGCCGGUCAUGUCCUACCUCUUCUCCGAGGCCAAGAACCAAGGUGCAACGACGACCAUGGCUGCUAGUACUAGUAGCUCCAGUUAUGGCGAGCUCGGUGACGAGCUGUCACUUCGAGCUAGGACGAUCCUCAUGUGGAUGCUUCUUGUGGAGCUCCUACGCAAGAAGGUGGAGGCCGUCCUGGUCAACGUGGGCAUGCAGUGGUACUCAGGCGCCAUCGAUCGCUUCGCCCGCAUUGUUUGGCUCUGCUAGCUCGUCUUCUACAAUGUCAAAAGCCCCGGCAAGAAGGCGAUCUACGGCACCUUAUGGGUCCUCACUGCUGCCAAGUUCCUGCAAAGGGUCGUCGUCAAGAUGGUGCUGGAGCGUUCCUUCGCCUACGGAAGGAACACCCAGCUGCUCAACUCAUACAUGGCCCAGAUCAUCCAACAACAAGAGCAAGAGGAGCACUUGGGGUCAUCGUAGGCGGAGCUGUUGAAGAAGUGCGAGUACACCGUGAUGGGAGAAGACAACCUGGAGAGGACGGCUGGCCGGCAUGCAUGGCUACCAGGUCGAGCUGAACAAGGCAGCCGUUGUCACCGUUGGUGACAUUUGGACGCAGGCAGCAGCCGAGCCGGACAGCCUCCUCCGGAGAGAACACCUCAGAAGGCUCUGCCUCUCCUUUGUUCUCUACAAGCUGCUGCGCCGGAGGUUCGAGGACAUCCCCACAACAAGGGAGGAGACCCGGAACUGCCGGAACCUCAUCUUCAAGGGCAUGUUGAAGGAGGAGGCGGAGCAAGGUGCCGAGGUCGCACUGUUCCAGUCUUCAACGAUGAGACCCAGUUCGUUUGCGAGUACUACCAUUCCGUCCUACCCGUCGUCUUGUCCGACCCUUUCUUCUUCAUAGCCAACUACAUCUUGUUUCCCAUUGUAGUUUGUGCCUUCUGCCUCCUAACAUUGAUCAUCUGCGGCAAUGGGAGCGUCCACUACGCCUACCAGAGCAUCAAAAGUGACAACUACAUCAUAUACACUGGCGCGACGACGCUGACCAGAUGCCUCCUGAGAAACAUCGCCCAUUCACCCGAGGUGCUAGCUGUUCGCCAGCAUCGACCUAGGCACCACCACUCUGCUCAUCCUGGCCUUCGUCUACGAGGAAGUCGUGGAGGUCCUCGUCUUUAUCCUCUCCAAUUGGCUCAUCGUGUCGCUCAUCUGUCAGUACACCGCCAAGCUCCACUGGCGGCAGAGCCGCAUCCUGUGUCGGCUCAUCCGCGGCAUCCUGUGGGUGCGAAGCAUGCUAUAAGCCACCCUAACCUCUGCUUCAAGCAGCUCUCCGUGCUAGGGUUCUUCCAACUGUCGUCGCCUUCGCCGUUCAUGGUGCCAACCAAGGCAGUGCCCAAGGAGGUAAUUAAAGAUUCUUCAUCGGUAAUGUCGCGCGGUUCUUGGUUUCAAGUACUGCCUGUAUUUUUUUUAUUUUUUUUUUGCCUUGUCAUUUGGUCCGUCAGAACUAAGUUUGUCGAAUUCCUUCUGAAUAAGCUUGAGACGCUGGUCGUGCUUGUUUGUUGGUGUGCCUACGUGCCGCGUAGUUGUCGUAGCAAAUACUUUCGGUUCCAUAUCGCCUGUGACAUUCAGCAUGUUGUCUUUUUUUUUUUGAAGCGCAUUCAGCAUGUUUCGCAGAUGUUUGGAAGGAUGAUCCAAAUUCUGAAUGCACAGACCAUGUUGGGAAAUUGAUUUCCCCACUGCGUGUCUGUGUUUACAUGCAUCUUCUUACUGUGGUUCCAAUGGCCCGUCUAGGCCCAUACAGGCCUAUCAGGUGGAUGGGCCGGCCGGCCUCCUGGAUCAACAAGGCCGGUAUCCCUUCUUGCCCGUCCGCCCCCGCUGUAGAAACAAAACCAGAACCAGCAGAUCCCCCGGGCCCUGAAGAGAAAGACGAUGGCAACAGAAGAAAGAGCUCGCGACGAAGCCGGCGAAAGCCCCCCAAACCCUCCCCAGCCCAGGCAGCGGCGGCGCGACGAGAUGGCCGACGACCCCACCGCCGGCGGCGGGAACACCGUCGAGGACGUCGUCCGCGCGGAGGUGAGCAUCCCCGGCCGGCCCUCGUCCUCUUUGCUGCGAGUGCCGGGGAAUCCGAUCUCCGCCCGUGCCGACCUGGCUCUGCUCGGCUGCCCCCGAUCUGCCCGCGCAGGUGGCGGCGCCUCGCCCCCAGUUCGGUUUCGGGUUAGAGGUGUCCCAUCGUGGUGUCUGGGCGGGGGGAAUCCGGCGACGAGGCGUUCUCCCUCCCGUUGGCUCGGUUGGCGCGGACGGACGCGGUGGGCCUGGUUGGGGAAUCUGUGCCCGUUUCGAUUUGGGUGUAGAAUAGGUAUACGUCUGCAAAAUUGAUAGAAUUAGGCCCGUUUAUAUCGGUCCUGGUACUUGGGCCAUGACGCUUUGGAUCGCCCACAAAAAUCCACAAACGCAGGCAGGGCCGGUCAUCCCGGAUAAAUCCAAAAUGAUUUUUACCGGUUACCGACCCCGGCGGUUUCGAUUUUUACCGAAAACCGGUCGGUAACCGGUAAAAACUGGACGAAUUCAAAAGACGAAUUGCCAGCGCAACUGGUAAAAACCGCUCGGUAACCCGCCCGAAUUCAAACCGCUUGGUAACGGUAAAAACCGCAUAGUAAACUGCCUGAAUUCAAAAUUUGAAAAUUUUGAAUUCGAGCGGUUUACUGUGCAGCUGAACCGGUGCUGGACCGGAGCGGUUGUUUUCGUCGGUUUUGUAAAUCCUAUUUGUGAUUCGGUGGGAGCAUUGCGCUAAAGACUCGGGCAUAAAGAUAGAUAAAAGCAACAAAAGAAACGGUUUCCCAGCUAAAGGUGGUGGGCCAAGUGACAGCUAGCAGUGGAGAGGGGGGCAUUCCAGCGGCCUGCAAGGCGGUUUCCCAGCUGGCCCGUCCUCAUUUACUAAUCCCCACCAAGCUUAGGGGGUGUUUGGAUCCCGGACUAAAUUUUAAUCCCUGUCACAUCGAAUGUUUGACACUAAUUAGGAGUAUUAAACAUAGGCUAAUUACAAAACCAAUUUCACAACCCCUAGGCUAAAUCACGAGACGAAUCUAUUAAGCCUAAUUAGUCCAUGAUUUGACACUAUGGUGCUACAGUAAACAUUCGCUAAUGAUGGAUUAAUUAGGCUUAAUAGAUUCGUCUCGCGAUUUAGCCUAGGGGUUCUGCAAUUAGUUUUGUAAUUAGCUCAUGUUUAGUCCUCCUAAUUAGCAUCCGAACAUCCGAUGUGACACAGACUAAACUUUAGCUCCAGGAUCCAAACACCCCCUUAGCAUCUUUCCUUUCGAUGAAAUAAAAAAAUUGUUAAUCUCAACUGCUCCUCGAUUACCGCAUAGAUUAACACCUCUUUAGCCUUUGUGGCACGGCACCUAAGGCUCCGUUUUCUUCCAUUGACUUAUUUUUAGCACCCGUCACAUCAAAUAUUUAGAUACUAAUUAGGAGUAUUAAACGUAGACUAUUUACAAAACCCAUUACAUAAGACGAAUCUAAACGGCGAGACGAAUCUAUUAAGCCUAAUUAGUCCAUGAUUUGACAAUGUGUUGCUACAGUACCAUAGUGUCGUAUCGAUGGCAUUAAUGAGCCUUAAUUAGGCUUAAUAGAUUCGUCUCGCCGUUUAGAUUCCACUUAUGUAAUUGGUUUUGUAAAUAGUCUACGUUUACUACUCCUAAUUAGUAUCUAAACAUUCGAUGUGACACGUGCUAAAAAUAAGACACGGGAAGAAAACGCCCCCUAAUACUUUCCUCACCUUUGCAGUGCCGUGGGCCCGCCACUUCCCUUCUGGCCCACAAGUCAUGGAGGCGCGCGAGGAGGGGUAUCGGUUUCACGAUGAUUAAUAAAGAAAGACACCGGCACACCGCACCGCAUGCACCUCCACCACUUGCGUUGCCUUUGCCUUUGCUUUUCCCCGAGCUCGCCCGCCUAGGAGCUCCAGCAGCCGGUCCGCUCCGCCACCGGUGCGGCAACCACGCCGCCGUCAGAUCGCCUCGCGCGGCCACCGGUCGUCCCCGCGAUACACCGCCGCCGGUGCGCCGUGCGCGGCGGCGCUGUCCCGCCGCUCCUCCGCCUACCGUCGGCCUGCGCCACCACCAGCGCACCGGCAGCACCGCGAGCUGCCGCGACGCCCCGACGUUGGUCCUUCCUGAGCCCGGUGUCGUCACCAGCGUAGCGGAGAAGCUAAUUACCUGAAGCAAUUUGUAGAAACGAAUAGUACUGGUUCGUUCACUUAUUUCUUUGCUCAAACUUAAUUUCUGCUUAGAGUUUGUGCCUAAAUUAGCUGCUUAUUCUGCUGGUUGCACGCAGGAGAUCGAGCUACGGGCGUACGGCCGGAUCGGAGGAGGACAUAUCAGCCGGGUUCCUGUUGGUUGUGUACUUGUGUUCCUGCCGACGGAGAAGCAACCAUGGCCGAGUUACUGAUCGGGCCACUGAUCUCCAUGGUGAAGGAGAAGGCAUCCAGCUACCUGCUGGACCAAUACAAGGUGAUGGAAGGCAUGGAGGAGCAGCGCAAGACCCUGGAGCGCAAGCUGCCAGCAAUCCUGCACAUCAUCCAGGAUGCGGAGGAGAAAGGAGCCUCCCGACCUGAAGUUGCAGUUUGGCUUAAAGACCUCAAGACAGCGGCCUAUGAGGCCAACGACGUCUUUGAUGAGUUCAAGUACGAGGCGCUUCGGCGAGAAGCCAAGAAGAAGGGCCACCACAGCAAGCUUGGAAAUGAGGUAGCAAGACUCCUAGUCCCCGCUCGUAAUCCCAUUGUAUUCCGUUACAGGAUGGGCAAGAAGCUACGCAGGAUUGUGCAGACCAUCGAGGCCUUGGUCACCGAGAUGAAUACAUUUGGUUUCAGGCACUUGCAGCAAGCACAGCCAUCAAGGCAGUGGCGACAGACAGAUUCCAUAAUCAUUGACUCCGACAGAGAUAUUCUUAGCAGAUCUAGAGAUCGGGAGAAGAAGAAAAUCGUGGGGAUGCUCCUUGAUCAAGCUAGCAACAGGGAUCUCAUGGUUCUUCCAAUUGUUGGGAUGGGUGGGAUGGGCAAGACCACCUUUGUGCAACUCAUUUACAAUGACCCUGCAAUCGAGAAGCACUUUGAGUUUCGGAGGUGGUACUGCGUGUCAGAUGAUUUCGAUGUCAGUACCAUUGCAAGCAACAUCUGCCAGACCAAUGAGAAAUAUCGUGAAAAAUCAUUGCAGGAGCUCCAUAGUACAAUAAGUGGAAAAAGGUACCUCAUUGUGUUAGAUGAUGUAUGGAAUCGGGAUGCUGAUAAGUGGGGAAAACUAAAGACCUGCCUUAAGCAGGGUGGCAAGGGCAGUGCAGUACUAACAACAACUCGUGAUGCAGAAGUGGCUCGCAUUAUGACCAUGGGUGUAGCUAAAGCCCAUAAUAUCGAGAAUCUGAGCGAUGAGCAUUUAAAGGAAAUUGUCCAGAGCAGAGCAUUCAGCUUGCAAAAUCCAAAUAUGGAAGAGCAAGAUGGCAUUCUCAGUGGAUUUGUUCGUCGAUGCGUUGGAUCUCCCUUGGCUGCCAAAGCCUUUGGCUCUAUGUUGAGUAACAGGACUAGUAUAAAUGAAUGGAAGGAUAUAUUAGCUAAAAGUAACAUUUGUAGUGAGAAAACCGGAAUUUUACCGAUCCUCAAGCUCAGUUUUGAUGACCUAUCCUCAGAUAUGAAGCAGUGCUUUGCAUUUUGUGCUUUAUUUCCUAAAGAUUAUGAGAUCGAUGUGGACCUCUUGAUUCGACUGUGGAUGGCACAUGAUUUCAUACCUGUGCAGGAGGAUGACAAUCUAGAAACCGUAGGAAAAUAUAUUUUUGAGGAGCUAACUCGAAGGUCAUUCUUUCAAGAUGUCAAGCAAACACUUCCAAUAAUUGUCAAGCAAACACUUCCACUUCCAUAUCGCUCUGUUGGAAUUCUUCGUAAGUCAACCAUAUGCAAGAUACAUGAUCUCAUGCAUGACAUUGCUCUAUCUGUUCUGGGGAAAGAAUGUGUCACUAUAGUUGGUAAGCCGAGCAUCAACAAGCUGUUGCUAAAUCCGACCCGCCACGUCUUCUUAUCAAUAUAUACUACUUUCUGGAAAGAACAGGUUACAAGUCUACUGGAUCAUCUAUUGAAGAAACAAACUGCAAUGCUCCAUACGUUGUUUAUCAAAGAUUAUGGUCAACCCCUUGAUAUAUCAAAGUACACUUCACUGCGAGCAUUACACCUUCCAGCAUAUGAGUAUCUAAGUUUUGGACAGGAACAGCUUACAAGACACAUACAACACCUAAGGUAUCUUAAUCUGUCGUCACAUGAGUUCGAGAAACUUCCUGAAGGUAUAAGCAUGAUGUAUAAUCUACAAUCGUUGGACCUCUCUCAUUGCAUAAAGCUUCGUCAACUUCCAAAGGAUAUGAAAUAUAUGGCAAACCUCCGACACCUCUAUACCCAUGGAUGCAAAUCAUUGACGUGCAUGCCUCCAGGACUUGGACAGAUCACUUCUCUGCAGACUCUAACAUAUUUUGUUAUUGGUGAUUGCUUGGGAUGUAGUACUAUCGGAGAACUUCGAAACUUAAACCUUGGUGGAGAGUUAGAGUUAAGUGGUCUGCAAAAUGUAACAGAAGUGCUUGCAAAAGCAGCCAAUCUUGAAAAUAAAGAGAAACUCACACACUUAUCUCUCAAGUGGAAUGAUGAUGCCCCUGAGAAAACAGAUUCUCAUAAUGAGGUGUUAGAUGCCCUUAAACCUCAUCACCGGCUAGAGAUGCUAAGAAUAAAGUCCUACAAAGGCACCAAUUUACCGUCAUGGAUAACAGAUCUUAGUAUGUUGCAUCACUUGACUGAGCUCCAUCUGAUUGGUUGGACGCUGUGUGAGGAAUUUCCUCAAUUCUGCCAUUUCAAAGCCCUUGAAGUUUUGAAUUUGGAAAAGUUGGACAAAUUGCGAAGCCUAUGCAGCCAUAUGGUGUCUACGCCAUUUCCAGCACUGAAGCAACUCGGGUUACAUGAUUUGGAGAGCUUGGAGAGAUGGGUCGCAAGAGAAGGAAAAGAAGAUGAAUUAACAUUUCCUGUACUUGAGGAGGUUGAUAUAAAAAACUGCCCAAAGUUGACUAGCCUACCUGAAACACCAAAGCUCAAGGUUGUAAGGCUGGAUGAAGGCAAGCCGCUGCUCUCCUUAGGAAUAGUUAAAUCAAGGCACAUGUCUUCAAUUUCUAAGCUAGUACUGUGUGUCCGUGACACAGAAGCACUGCCUCAGAUAGAUUAUAAUUGCGAUUCAUCACAGAAACUGGAACUAUCUUUGGGUGACACAGAAGCCGCACCUCUGUCGCGACUGAGCAUAUCUGGCUGCAACUUUUUCUUCGUAUCAAGCCAGUCACAGCUAACACCUGGGGUCUGGAAAUGGUUUGAACAUCUUGUAGAUUUAAGAAUUGAAAACUGUAAUGUGCUCAUCUACUGGCCAGAAGAAGUGUUCCAAAGCUUGGUAUCUUUGAAGGAGUUGUGGAUUAAGUGCUGCAACAAGCUAAUAGGGCCCAC